AUCCUACGGGAGGCAGCAGUGGGGAAUCUUGGACAAUGGGCGCAAGCCUGAUCCAGCCAUGCCGCGUGAGUGAUGAAGGCCUUAGGGUCGUAAAGCUCUUUCGCCAGGGAUGAUAAUGACAGUACCUGGUAAAGAAACCCCGGCUAACUCCGUGCCAGCAGCCGCGGUAAUACGGAGGGGGUUAGCGUUGUUCGGAAUUACUGGGCGUAAAGCGCGCGUAGGCGGGUUGUUAAGUUAGAGGUGAAUUCCCGGGGCUCAACCUCGGAACUGCCUUUAAUACUGGCAACCUAGAGUUCGAGAGAGGUGAGUGGAAUUCCGAGUGUAGAGGUGAAAUUCGUAGAUGUUCGGAGGAACACCAGUGGCGAAGGCGGCUCACUGGCUCGAUACUGACGCUGAGGUGCGAAAGUGUGGGGAGCAAACAGGAUUAGAUACCCUGGUAGUCCACACCGUAAACGAUGAAUGCUAGUCGUCGGGUAGCAUGCUAUUCGGUGACACACCUAACGGAUUAAGCAUUCCGCCUGGGGAGUACGGUCGCAAGAUUAAAACUCAAAGGAA
rnacentral:rRNA from 1 species